rfam:Ipomoea nil DNA, scaffold: scaffold3169, cultivar: Tokyo-kokei standard.
GGGCAUUUGGUCUAGUGGUAUGAUUCUCGCUUUGGGUGCGAGAGGUCUCAAGUUUGAUUCUCGGAAUGCCCC